CCUGCACUGCAAGCGAUGUUCUCCGACCGACAACAUCCAUCGCGGACCGACGUCAGCUCCUGGCGGAGCUUCACGUAUCCGGCGCUGGAUCUCUGAAGAAUCAAAGAACGAGAGCGACGUGGAACACCACACAUCCUGGGAGCAACCAUAAGGAUCCAAUCUUGAAGACCAUGCAGUGUCAGCAUAUUAGCCGAAUUUAGACAAUUGUAAAUUCUAGUUAAUUGUAUAGAUCAAUUGUACAUUUUAGUUAAUGUCACAUUUCGAUUGUAUAUAUACAUCAUCAACACAAUUGUAUAUACCUAGUUAGUUAGCCAAUUUAGUCUAAGUAGUGCAAUUGUACAUAUUUACCUUAGCCAAUUUUUAGUCAAUUCAAUAGACCAAAUGUAUAUACAAACAAACUAUAGAUAAUUUAACAAAUUUAGUAAAAUUUUUAGUUCAAGUGUACAUAAUUUAGUAAAUUUUUAAAAUAAAUUGUAUAUAUUUUAAAUAUUUUUGAUUUUUUUGCAAUAGAGAAUGAAAUUUAUAAG
ensembl:ncRNA lncRNA:CR43887 long non-coding RNA:CR43887